CUACGGGCCGCACCAGUGGGGAAUAUUGGGCAAUGGGCGCAAGCCUGACCCAGCAACGCCGCGUGAGGGAAGAAGGUUUUCGGAUUGUAAACCUCUGUCCUUGGGGACGAAGAAGUGACGGUACCCAAGGAGGAAGCUCCGGCUAACUACGUGCCAGCAGCCGCGGUAAGACGUAGGGAGCAAGCGUUGUCCGGAAUUACUGGGCGUAAAGGGUGCGUAGGCGGCAUAUUAAGUCAGGUGUGAAAUACUCGGGCUCAACCCGGGGGCUGCAUUUGAAACUGAUAUGCUUGAGUGUGAGAGAGGAAAGUGGAAUUCCUAGUGUAGCGGUGGAAUGCGUAGAUAUUAGGAGGAACACCAGUGGCGAAGGCGACUUUCUGGCUCAUAACUGACGCUGAGGCACGAAAGCGUGGGGAGCAAACAGGAUUAGAUACCCUGGUAGUC
rnacentral:rRNA from 1 species